GGGCGUGUGGCUCAGUUGGUAGAGCGUUCGCUUAGCAUAUUCUGGUAGAGCUUGUCUUCCAGCAGAUAUGCGAAAGGUCCUGGGUUCGAUUCCCAGCUCGUCCA